rnacentral:rRNA from 1 species
AUGAGGCGGAAAGUGGCGUUCCUCAUGGAGGAAAUCCGUGAUAAAGUGCACACCGCCUGCGGGCCAACCGUCUCCUGCGCUGACAUCAUGGCCCUUGCCACUCACGACGUCGUUGUAGCGUCAGGUGGCAAACCCUACCAUGUGCCACUCGGUAGGCUAGACAGCUUCGAGCCCGCACCGCUGAGGUUCGUCGAGGAACUCCCACCCCGCACCUUCAGUGUUGACCAGCUUAUCACUGCCUUCCGCAGCCGCAGCCUCGACGAGAAAGAUCUUGUGGUUCUCUCUGGCGCGCACACCAUCGGGAAAGCUCGUUGCGCCACCUUCAGCGACCGUUUCCCUAACUCCGACUCUGAUGACUUUGUCCGAAAGCUACAAGACAACUGCACCGCCGACGUGAACCGGCGUCAGGACCUCGACGUGACCACCCCGGAAGAGUUCGACAACAAGUACUACAUCAACCUCAAACAGGGGAAGGGGGUUCUUACCUCCGACGUGCAGCUCCUCCUCAAUGAGACCACCCGAGAGUACGUGAACGACUUCGCCGACAAUGAGUGGUGGUUCUGGAACCAGUUCGGCAGCUCCAUGAGCAAGAUGGGGAUGCUCCAGGGACCUCAAGGGAACGUCGGCCGCAUCCGCCAGCAGUGCUACUAG